AAUCAUUCUGGCAGCCGUGGUGAAUUGUGUAUCUGUCUAAUGUGUGUGUGUGUGUGUGGGAGUGUGUGUGCCUGUAGGUGUGCCAGGCCCCCACCAUAGGUACCCAUGAAGAUCUCUGGACUGAAAUAUUCAUUCUUGUUUGCUCGCCCAGACAGUGUGGUCCUAAUUGCAGCAUCAGAAAGCUCCACCUCUCCCUCUCGUCUGUCUUGGCUGCUUGUGGAGACAAACCUCAUCUGGGAGCAGGAUGUCUGUGGUGCGUAUGAAGCUCUGGAGUUUUUCAUCAGUUCCCGUGCCAACCCAACCCGUGCCUGGCCAAGCUGAACCAUCUUGUGGGAUUUUUGGCUUUUAAUUAUAGUAAGAGAGGAUUAAUUAUGGCAGUGGAAACAAGGGGCCAUGCAUUAUUGAUGCUAUGAGUGAAGGGCUGGAGGGGGUAGAGGGUGCUAAUUAAAUCACUGCCCUACUGCCACGUCCUCCUCUGUCUCUGCCUCCACCAUGUCUUCCACCUGCUACAUCUCCGACACCCCACCCUACUUUACUGCUCACACCCUCCCAUACAUGUUGUCACUCACACAAGCACUCAUGCCUCUGUUGUCAUUUGUCAUGCUGUUUAUUUAUUUUUUCCCCAAGUCUACAUGACGCAAAGUCUCCAAAUCAAAGUUUGAAAAUAUCUUCCAUCACCUUUCCAGAGAUGUCACGCCUAGUUGAUGUUUCCUCCGUCUUCUUAGGUCUCAGUCAUGUGUCAGAAGAUCUCUCUCUCUCUCCGUAGUAUCUGGGUUUGCAUGCUGCCACAUCCUGUUGAUAGUGAUUGGAACAUCCAUUCAAAUGUCCCUUAGUGGUGACAUUUUUUUAAAUUUGCUCACAUCCUAAACGAGCGCCUCAGUUUCAAUUUCAACCCCCAUUAGGAAAGCUCCUUCUGGUCAACACGGGAUGAGCAUCUUUAAUAGCCAAAUGUAACAAAAGGCUGCCAUCUACUGGAACGUAUUUGUAAUGAUCAAAUGUAUCAUUUCCAUACAACCGCUCUGAGAUCAGUGUCUUGUCCCGUACUCACACUGUUCAGUUGCCAGCACUCUGACCAAGAAGAAGAAGAAGAGCAGAAACUCUCUGGUGAUGAAGUGAUUGUAUACAAUGUUCCCCGUCUGUGCGAGUACUUACAUAAAGUGUACUCCCCAUGAGGAC
rnacentral:lncRNA from 1 species